CACUGAGCCCUACGAGACCAUGGAGCCCUCAGUAGGUGUGGCUCCUGCUCUCAGGGACAUCACUGUGUAAUGGAGGUGGAUGAAGCACGAAGAAAGCAUGAAGACUGCAGGAACACAGGGGAGGGGGACUUCCUGGAAGCGGUGAUAUUUGAGCUGCACCCAAAGUAACAGGCUUUAGAGCUGGGGGGAAGGGUGUUCCAGGGAGAGGGAACAGCAUGUGCAAAGGCUGUGACCCGGGGAGAGAGCCCAGGAAAGGUUUGCGGGAGGAGCUGAGUGGAUGCAGUAUUGGAAGAGGUUGCCCUCCACGGAGCCCUGCGUUCUUCAUUCCUCUCGAGAGCUCUGCUCCUGUUUCCCGUUUGUUUCUAAGCCCAGGAAGCAGAUUCCGCAAGGCCCGAGGCUACGGAGCAGAGCGUGAGGGAGCCGUCUGGACUGGAGCCCGGGCUGAGCCUGAGCUUGGCGCCUCCCUGAGUCUCACGGCCUCCCAGCACGCGAAUGCGCCUUUUGAAUCGGUUGCGGGUGGAUCUGGUGCUGUUACUAUUAUUGUUGUUUAUUAUUGAUUACCAAGGUGAUCCGAAAACAUCCUGAUUCAGCUCCGGCUCCGACCUCCCGGCUUCCCGCACUUAAAGCUCCGGGCCCAGGCGGCCCCGCGUGGCCGCGGUGGGAACUGCAGUCUCCAGGGCGCGGGGUCGGCGUGGUGGCGCCCCUGGAGGCGGCGCUGGGCACUGCCGCGAGAGCCCGACCGCUGAGCGCGGUGUCCUCUGCAGGCUGGUCAGCACCCGCAUGGGUCCCGGGACAAGGGUCCCAGCUGAAAUGGAAGCUGAGGUUCACAGAGCUUAAGGAACUGACCCAGAAUUGCAGACCUGGAUUUGAACCCAACUCUGCCAAAGUCUGCGGCCGAACCCAGAACCCCUCCCACUAAGUCCAAAGAGGAAACGGCCCCUGGACCCUCUGACUAGACUGUAAGCCUCUGGAAGUCAGGCAUAAAAAUGGUGAUGAUAAAAAUAAUAAUAAUAAUUCAGUCACUAGUGGGGGCAGUGUACCGAAUUUGAGCGUCACUAUUUCCUGCAUGUGUGUCUUUGGUCAACUAAGUUACUUCACCUCUCUGUGACUCAAUUUUACCACCAGUAAGUGAGCUUUAAAAAAAAAUUUUUGUUUCGCAUGGGAAGCAUCAAUCAGUUGCCUCCUGAAUGUGUGUCCCUACUGGAGAUCAAACAUGCAACCUGGGGAUGUGCCCUGACCAGGAAACAAACUUGCCACCUUCUGGUGCAGGGGAUGUCGCUCCAACCUGCCCAGCCACACCAGCCAAGGCAGGGAGUGAGCUUUCUUAAAGUCUUACGUUACAGGGCUAUCGAUGUUCUGAGGAUUCAGUGCAAUCAUGCAGACGCAGUGCUUAGCUUAGCGCCUGGCAUGUAGAAGGGCUCAAGGAAACAGCCAAUAUGAUUUACUCACUCAGACACUAUUUACUGAAAACCUGGGACCUAGGGAUACAGGGGAAGAAGGACAGAUAUUGUUCUUGCUUUGAUGAUUUCCUAGUUUCUGUGUCCCUAGGAUCUAGCACAUUGCUGGCUUAAUAAAUGUUGAAAUGAAUGCAUAAAGAAGCAAAUGAAGGAAUAAAUAGACAAAUGUACUGCAGUAAGAGGGAGAAAGGCGGGUUUUAAAAAAUAAUAGCUGGAACAAAAAUACAAAAAAAUUAAAAAAACUAAACACACACACACACAAAAGCUAAUAUUUUGGUCGCACUCCCAAUGUAUCAGUACUUGACUAAAUGCUUUUUGUAUCCUCAGUUCAUGCUCACAGCAAACCCAUAAGGUGAAGCGUUACCCGAUUUUACAGAGAAAAACACCAUCUCUGAGAGGGAGAGUGACUUUCCUAAGGUCACAAAGUAAGUGCAGGGCAGGCUUUAGGCUUGGGCCUGCUGCCUCCAAAGCUUGGCUUUGAACCCGUGCUCCCUUGAAGCAGUGGCUGGAGGGCCCAGCUGGGGCAUCUUCCGCCAGCCUCCUGCCACCUCUGGAUGGUUGGCUAGAGCUCUUGGCACACAGAAACUCAGCAGAAUGGCCUCCACCAGCACCAGUAAUAAUGGGGGAUGUUCUACUCUCAGUUUACUUCGCCUAGCUCGCUCACGUGCUGAGCCUCACAUUUGACUGUUUCAUAACACUCCUGUGAAGAGAGUGUUAAUUGCCUAUUUCACAGGCCGGCAACCGAGGUUCAGGAAGGCCGGGCUCGAAAGGUCAUGUGGGGCGGGCUCUGGGGUAUGGUGGAAACUGCUGCCCUCUGGUGCCUCGCUACUGCCAAGCUCACCCUCUGCCAGUCAUCCUCCCAUCCCUCACCACUCUCAUAGCCCCUUUCCUGACCUGUUCUGGCCAGGGUCACUAUAGGCCAGUGGUUCUCAACCUUCCUAAUGCCGCGACCCUUUAAUACAGUUCCUCAUGUUGUGGUGACCCCCCAACCAUAAAAUUA